rnacentral:lncRNA from 1 species
GCUGCUGCAGUUGCUGGUUAUUACCGCUAGGAGACGGGGUGGCGCUGUCUGUGCUCUAAGUGCUCAGCAGCCUGGGCUCCGCAGGCAGGUUUUCCCUCAGAGCUGAUCAGGGAACAGCGGCGGCCGCGGGUGAUUUACCUCAGCGCUUCAGCCCUGUUUUAGAGAUUUACCUAAGCUGAUAUUGAUGGGAUUUCUAUGGAACGGCCUUUGAUUUUCUCCACUUGGGAUCCAUAAGAUAAAACCUGCAAUUUGACCUUCCUGACAUCAUUUUGAGGAAGUGACAUUAUCAAAGUCUCUGCAUGACCACCACGGGGCUUGAAUUAAGUGGAGUGUGUAUGUUUUUCUGUCUUUCUCUCUACUGUAUUCUCUACAGGUCAUGUUAACUGAAGAAACACUGCAUUUGGGGUUUGGCUGUGCUUAUCAUCCAAUCCAGGGUGCAGCUGGAUGCU